CUCGGCUCAUGGCAACACUGUACACAGAGUUCAACCACUCCACGCUGGAGAGAUAGGGGGGGGCGUCCUCUGGUCCGCGCGGCGGCCCGGAGCCCGUCACCCUCCUCCGGCUGCGGCUGUGGCACCACGGGGCGACUAUUCACGGCGGAUGAAACCCGCGUGGCGGGGACGCGUUCAUUGCAAAGCGCGUGGGGACAGGAAUCAGUUUACGGCGGAAUGGUUUAUUCCUAAUGUACGACGUGCAGAACUGAACGCGCCGCACCCCAACUAUAACUCCCACAUUCAACCAACCGUGCUGACUACACCAGCCCCGCCUUCCGCGCACUCCCAUUCGCUACACACCUCUAGCGGGCGCGGCUGUCUGCUCCAGCUCGGCUUCCCAUUGGCUGCCUGCACUGCCGCUUUCCCCCCGCACUUUGCAUAAGCAGGUGGGGUUGCAGAUGCAGGGGAGUGGGCAGGGAAGGGGUUAGUGCAAGUGGACUGAACUUCAGCGUCGGUGGACACUAUAUAUUCUUAUCGUGCACCUAACUUUAAACAUGCCCAUGCUGUGAGUGGAAAAACAAAGUCUCCGGGUGUUUGGAUAUUUGACAGACAUCCUCCCGUGAGCGGACAUGAAAUAUGUCUUUUCUAAAUUAUUGCAAAAGAAAACUUGGCGGUGUGAACAUCCACACGUCGUGGAGUGGGAGGCAGCGGUGAUAAAUAAUUCUGAGGAACAGUUGGUAACAGUGGUGGACAACAGGAGGAUUUAAUGUAUUCAUUUCACAUGUAUGAUUUUGUACAUUUCCUUUGACUGAUGUCAUUUAUUGUGAUAUUCACCACCGCACCUCCAGUCUUUUAUUCUCUGAUUGUGUCUCACAGCCUUUGUCCGUGUUCCUUCACAGAUUGUGCGCCUCACGCAUCUGUGGACACAUCUGAAAGCAGGUGAGCCACUGACUAACGCACAUUGUGCCCGUUGCCAGUUCCACUGUGCGUGUGACAGCGGCUAACCUGGUUUUGGGAACACCUCUCAACCAGUCCCCACCCCCCACCACCACCACCACCCUCCCAUGGACACGUCCCUGGGACAGAGGCCUGUUCUACAUGACUUCAUAUGUGUGUGUGUGUGUGUGUGUGUGUGUGUGUACUGUACAGUCUACUUCCUCCUAUCACACACUCUACCUUAUUUAGGGCCAGUAGCCUUUGCAUUUUCUCCUCUAGGAGUUGACUUCUGGUUAUGCCUCUGCUACUGUGGAGAUUAUUGGUGAGUGUUAUAUUUCAGUUUCAGUUUUCAUCUGAGUGGUUUUUUUUAAAACAAGAAAACCACUGUCAUCAUAUCUGCUUUCUAAUUGGAGGAGUUUAAAAAGCUGACAUGUAACUUAACUAUAAAGAAUCUGGUUUUAAUCUGUUUAUUAAUAAAGUAAUAUGUCCUCCCUUUCCUUUCUACCUAUUUACACCGAGAUGUAUUAAAGCUCAAAUUCGAGCUCUCAAGUAAAGAAAUGAAAUUCAUUGUAUAUGUUUAUAAGAAAUAUUAAAGUUUCUGUGACAUCAUGUAUUUUGUUUGACCGUGUAAUGCAUUUCAUGGUAUCAGCGCGCAUGUUUCAUACCCACCAGUGUCCCAUGAGUCACGGUGAUACAGAGGAAUAGAUAAGUGCAGUAUGUCAGACUCAUUAACUUGUGGCCCCAUUAAUCAUCCCUCAGUGAUGUGGAUGUGCAGAUGCUCACUCUCAUCCACAUGAAGGAGGCUGUGUCCCAGACACCCGCAGCCUGUUAUAAACACGUAUUGAUCGGUGACCGUCAAAAGUGGUCGAACCUUCAAAAACAAAAAGCAAAAAAAAAAAAAUUGUCGGUUCAGAUGGGGUUUAUGUGGAGCGCCAUUGUAUGAGCAAAUAAUAAUUCCUUCAGUGUUGCGUCCUGAAUCACCAGCGUAAUCUGUUAAUGUCCCGUUUAUGAAAUUGGAGUCCUCUGGAGUUCAGAUAUGAGGUGGGUGAGGCCGGACACGUUUCACUUUGCAAGUAGGAGAACUGCAAAUUACACGGAAAUAGAAAUUAAAAUGGAAAUAACGUAUGAAACAUUGAUGUCUGCUGCAAAUAAAACAUUUAUACGUAAAGGA